GACUUUGUGGUGUAAUGGCCAGCACACUCGGCGUAUAUUCGAGAGGUCCGAGGUUCGAGUCCCAGCGAGGGCA
rnacentral:tRNA from 1 species